UACGUAGGGUGCGAGCGUUGUCCGGAAUUAUUGGGCGUAAAGGGCUCGUAGGCGGUUUGUCGCGUCGGGAGUGAAAUCCACUGGCUUAACUGGUGGCUUGCUUUCGAUACGGGCAGACUAGAGUGCGGUAGGGGAGAUUGGAAUUCCUGGUGUAGCGGUGGAAUGCGCAGAUAUCAGGAGGAACACCGAUGGCGAAGGCAGAUCUCUGGGCAACAACUGACGCUGAGGAGCGAAAGCGUGGGGAGCGAACAGG
rnacentral:rRNA from 1 species